ensembl:lncRNA
AAUGGAAUAUCAUGCCGGUGCCAGAGUUAAUGGAAUAACAAGCAGGUGCCAGAGUUAAUGGAAUAACAUGCAGGUGCCAGAGUUAAUGGAAUAACAUGCAGGUGCCAGAGUUAAUGGAAUAACAAUCCAGUGCCAGAGUUAAUGGAAUAACAAGCAGGUGCCAGAGUUAAUGGAAUAACAUGCAGGUGCCAGAGUUAAUGGAAUAACAUGCAGGUGCCAGAGUUAAUGGAAUAACAUGCCGGUGCCAGAGUUAAUGGAAUAACAUGCAGGUGCCAGAGUUAAUGGAAUAACAUGCAGGUGCCAGAGUUAAUGGAAUAACAAUCCAGUGCCAGAGUUAAUGGAAUAACAAGCAGGUGCCAGAGUUAAUGGAAUAACAUGCCGGUGCCAGAGUUAAUGGAAUAACAUGUCGGUGCCAGAGUUAAUGGAAUAACAUGCCGGUGCCAGAGUUAAUGGAAUAACAUGCACGGUGCCAGAGUUAAUGGAAUAACAUACUGGUGCCAGAGUUAAUGGAAUAACAUACUGGUGCCAGAGUUAAUGGAAUAACAUACUGGUGCCAGAGUUAAUG